UGCCGCGCGGGCCGCGCCAGAACUCACGCCCGCAGAGGCGCGGCUCCUGGCGGAGAUCGGCGCCGUGACCCUGGUCAGCGUCCCGCGCCCCGACCCAGCCCACCACGGCCUCGCUCUGGUAUCCUUCAAACGCCAGCAAGAGCAGAACUUCCAGGAGCAAAGUACCUUGGCAGCCGAGGCCCGUGAGACCCGGCGUCAGGAGCUGCUGGAGAAGAUUUCAGAGGGGCAGGCUGCCAAGAAGCAGAAGCUGGAACAGAAUUCGGGGUCCUGCGAGAGCCAGCAGGCCCCCGGGAGCCAGGUUGCUGAAGGAAACGAAACUGGAGAUAGCCAGGCUUCGGGGGAGCAGGAGGAAGCAGUUUCCUCCUCUCUCCAGCCAGGGCUUUCUGAUGGGGUAGACCCCCUGCCCAGAUCUGCCCUGCUGGUCCAGCUGGCCACUGCCAGGCCUCGACCCAUUAAGGCUAAGCCUCUGGACUGGCGCGUCCAGUCCAAAGACUGGCCCCAUGCUGGCCGUCCUGCUCAUGAGUUGCGCUACAGGAUCUACAAAGACUUGUGGGAGAGAGGCUUCUUCCUAAGUGCUGCUGGCAAGUUCGGGGGUGACUUCCUCGUCUAUCCUGGCGACCCACUCCGUUUCCAUGCCCACUACAUUGCCCAGUGCUGGGCCCCUGAUGACCCCAUCCCUCCAGGAUCUGGUCUCUGCCGGUGGAUACUUGUUUGCUUACUGGGUUUGCACGUUCAUGUAGAGUUGGGUGCUCAAACUCUACAGCCUCCGAGUCAUCUCUCACAGUCAUCCCCUUUUGUAAGUACAAUGUUGUUAGCCCAUACAGGUUUGUAUUGUCUCUGACGGCCUUCUUUCUCUAAUGGCAGAGCUGAGUCACUGUACAGAGACAGUCCAGGAUACAAAGCUGAAAAUAAUGACUACUUAGCUCUUACUAAAAGGCUGCCAGCUCUCCCAAAUAGCCAGAUGGGCUAAAGAUUUUAUUUGUAUUUCUGAGUGUUCACUUUCCAGCUCAUUCUCAAUUUCUUUCUGUCUGGGGAUGUAGCUCAGUGGUGGAGCACCCCUGGGUUCAAUCCCCAGCAGCAACAACAACAACAACAAAAAACCUAAGAUAGUUAUAUGUAUUUUAUCUCAAUUUUAUGUAUUAAAAAGAACACAGGAAAAAGGAGAGGAGCUCCAAGUACAUACAAGUGAGCAAAGGCCUCUGGCUUUCCUCAACUCUAAGGCCCCAAAUCCUUAGGAGACCUUAAGAGUUUUAUUUUUCACUUAUAGCUGAAACCUUUGUAUUGCUCUCUGAUGAAUGAACAGCCCAGGACACAUCCCCUCCUACUGAGCAGCCAGGGUUCUCUCAUUCUACCAAGGUAUCCUGUCCCAUCUCUUCAUUUUCCAGCAGAGGUUUGUUCCCAUCCUUCAAAAGGAGGGAACACACAGGUGAAAAGCAGCCCUAGUCAUCCGGCCCUAGUCAUUCCCCUUCCCACUAUAGAGUGGGCACCUACAAAUUGCUAUGUGAACUAAGGGACAGAAGGGACACAGAUGAGAGGAGAAGUUCCUUACAGAAGAGUUGGCUGUCACUCACAGAUGCACACAGGGACUAACAAUGAAGUGCUGCUUGCAAUGGCAUUCCUUAUUUACAUUUUAGUUCCCACCAUUCUAGGAACCCUUCCCUUAGGUCUUCUUAUGCUUCUCUUGCCUUUGUUCCUUUUCAGCUGGGACUAUGCUUAAGCAAAUGCC
rnacentral:lncRNA from 1 species